ensembl:lncRNA
CCUCAGAGCCCAAACCAAAGUAGUUAGCAGGUCAAAGGAUCAGGACAGGCAACUGGGAGAGGGUUCUUGUUUAGAGGACACUUGUACAUGGCAGGUGACAAGCAGGAUAGAGAGUCUUAACUAGAAGACUCUCAACCAGGGUGCAGGAGGAGGAAGGAGGCAAUUCAUCAGAAAGGGAGGUGGACCAGGAUCAGAAGUGGGACUUUGGCUGGUGAAAGGGCUCACUGUGUAAAAGCAAUUGGUGUGCAAGCUGGGUGACCUGGACUUGAUCCGUAGAACCCAUACUUUUUAAAAGGCACACCUCUGUAACCCCAGCUCUCCUAAAAUGAGGGGGAGGUAGAGACAGGAGGAUCGAUUGACCAGAAGUUCCAGCACCAGUUAGCCUAGAGUAUAAGCCAUGGCAGAGAGCGUGACACAGUCUUAGAGAACCAACUCCUGACAGCUGUGCUCUGACCUGCCGUCACUGUGUCGGGCACUUGCACAUAUACACAUACACACCAUACACACACGUAUAAAGAGACUGUGUUAAGAGUUCAAAUCUGGAACUCUAAGGAGCAUCUGAAUGUGACGGAAUGGAUGUAAAGGACACGAAGUUCGUGACAUUGGUGUGAGCAGAGAAAACAGGAAGUCGUAGACCUGGAGAAGAGAGGAAGGCCAGGAGGAGAGGGUGUUUCAGUGUGGGGCCUGGACACCCGUGACAAAAGAAGAUGCCCAAUAAGAUGUCCGUGUGCAAAGGCCCACUUCAGGGGAGUGGGCGCUGCAUGGGAGAAGACAUCCCUGAAAAGCUGAGAACUUGGACUGAGAGACUAGAAGUGGACAUGGCAGCAACACUGCAGGUACCCUUCUUGGAGGCCUGAAGAUGGUGUUCCCUAAUGGUCGAGUUACAGAUAAUUGAGCCUCGAGGAUACAUCAGCUGUGGGAAACAGAGAAUGCCUGUGUCACUCCUGUGUCGUGAUGGUGAAACUGAGGCACAAAGCCUUCUGGGGAUGUGAAUGGGCAUCAACACUAGAGUCAAGGUGAGAAACAGGAAAAUGCUAGCAGGAAUAUUUGCUGGAAUCACAGACUCCUGCAGCUUCCCAAGGAUUUCCUCUUUCAAAUGGAGAUGAAACUCCUCCUACCCUCUUCAGCCCUGAAGCAAACUGGUCAGUAAGCAUCUACAGGCUUUCUUCAGCACUGGGUAAAUGAGUUCUGGGUGGUUCCUCCUGAGAGCCCUCCUCCUCGGGCAGUUGUUCUAAUGGUCAGGCUACCUGUGCCACACCACUUUUAAUAAAACAUCUUGCCUUAUCCUGUGCAAACAGGCACAGUCGGCAGCGAACUUCACAUCGUGGUGUCAUUUAGAAAAGCAAAUAACAGAUUUUUUUUCCUUCAAUAAAACAGGAAAUGAAAUUAAAAACAAGACCAGUUUCAUUUACCAGACUUGCCAUGACAAGGUUGGCCAUGGGUGAAUUUGGUUCCAGUUCAACAGUCUCGGCUACGACAGCAGCCGGGUGCACAGAGACGGCUGUGGCGUCUCCACUCUCUCUGAGCUUCAGCUGAGCUCCAGGUUAUUUUAAAAGGGGCUUUGUAUGAAUGUGUUUCUGUCUAUGUUAACAAAGCUUUCCGUAGAUGCAGAUCUAACUGAUGUGAGCCAAGAUGUGUAGUGGGGUAAACCUCAGUACUUAGACAUCCUGAAACCGAAAUCUAGACCCACACCCUGUCCGAAUACGACUUGAUCACUGCAUUUUGAUUUGGGUGGGAAACUAAAGCUAGUGCUCGCUCAGAAACACUUUCAAGCGAGCGCAAUCUGCCCAGUGGGCCGCUGUUUGCCUGCUCUAGUGCCCAGGUCAAGGGUGAUAAAUCUUACUCAGGCAACUGUAGGAAGGAAAUGGAAAGCCCAGUAUGUCGGGCUUAGUGGAGGUGUUGUAGUAACUACUUAGCAUUUACACAUGGACGCACGGCACCACGCAGGAGUUUUUCACCUCAUGCUUCCCAGUCUACUGAAAACCCGAAGGUAUGGCCCUCGUGGUCUCUCACAUAUAGACAUUGCUUACUGCCCCUAAGUGAUUCCAAAUGAAAACACAUGCGCACACACACACACACACAUGUACACACACAUAUACACACACAUACACACACGUACACACAUAUGCACACACACAUACAUACACAUGCACACACACAUACACACAUACACAUACACAUGCACACACGUACACACACGUACACGCACACAUACAUACACACGUACACACAUAUGUACACACACCUGUAUACACAUGCAUACUACAUACACACACACACACACACACACGUACACGUGCGCACACACACAAUUCUCAUGUUUUGGAAUAAUAGUAAUUGCUGCUGCUACCAUUGCUCUGGGCAGUAGCCUGGAACGUCAAGUGUGUUGUUUGCUUAAUUUUCAUAACAACUCCACAGGGCAGGUCUCAUUAUCUCUCUUGUACACAUGAACAAAUUAAGGGUCAGAUAGGUUAAUAUGCCCAGUGCUGUGUAGCUAAAAUUGGCCUGUUCGGUAUUUAAAUCCUGCCGUUUAUGACUUAACGCUACCUCCCCUGGCAGUAAAGAGCCAGUCUUAGGGAAACACUACAUUGCUUCCUGUCAUGAAUCCGACCUGUCUUCUUUUAGGAAGAGACUAAUUAUUAUAAUAGUCAGUUCUGACAUUACCCUAAAAAUGGUGUCACCAGAUGGUCAUAGCGUUUUAUCAACAAAGCGUUUCAUUGUAUCCUGGUUUAUUUCUUCAUUCCUGCCUCAUGGGUGGGUCUCAUUCUUAAGAUUUCUGAGGCAGGUUCUGUUCCUUGGUCUUUCCUUUGCCUCUGUUUUACAGCUUGUCCUCGAAAGACAGAGCAGCUUAAUGUUUACGAAAAUCUGUAAACACAUUAGAUUAUAAAUCGAGUGAGUAUUACGCAGGCCUUUCCCCCUCUCUCAAAUACAAGGUACACAGAGGUUACAGGUCAGAAGUUCACAGCCCAGUGAGUGCUCUUGAGUGAACGCACUCAGCAGCCAGAUCGAGAGUGAGAGCACCAGUGGUCGAGCCAAUGCCGUCCCGAAUGUGGCUGGAAUAUUACUUCAAAGUCUAUUUAUAUAAGUGACCUUUUGAAAGCCCCUGAGAUGUGUUUAUACAAAGGCCUGGUUGAACAGUCCACCACACUGUGAAUCCACCCGAAACACGGCACCCUACAGUCACUGGGCUAUCUUCUCCUGAUAAUUAAGAUCUGGUUUUAAUGGCGGCCAUGUUAAAAAGACAUUGCCGUUCCGAAUUGUGAAAUUCUGUUUGUCAUUAAGAAGCAUUGCCUCAAUGUUUCAGUGCUAGCUUUCCUAUCUUCAGAGGAGGAUCUGCCAUGGUCGCUUCUGUCAGAGAACGAGAGACCCGCCUCUAGCACGAUGGGCAAUACUCAACGUUCUGAGAAUCAGACUGCGUGCACACGUGAGGGGAGUCAGUUACACUUCCAAGACGAGUCCCGUAGGGUGGAACAGAUGGUGCAGGACGACGUCUCAAGGAUGUGGAAAGCAUAGAUGGAACCCGCACCACAAAUGAGGUGAACCGUGUAAGAUAAGCGAGAUUGGCUGUAGUAGUGACAGCACUGGGGCACUUGCUCACCCUACGAGCUGUGACUAAGUCACCAUAGGCAUCCUGGAGGAACGUGCACCCCCUAGAGAUCGGAGGAGAGGAUGGUCUGGAUUCAGAGGGACUCGAAUGUUGGAGGCCCCUGACCUGCAUGAGAAAGUGUGAAGGAUUUCUUAAGAGCCAGCUUGGAAGGGAGAGCAGCCCUGGACAAGACUCCUCCAGUCCCAGCUCAGCAAAGCCCCCAACUGCUUUUGAAGAACCGUUUCAUAGCUGGGCCAGCACCUGGCCACACGUUUUCAUCUACCAGCCCGGGCAGAUCAAUAUGCCCAACCCCCACGGUUUAUGAGUCCUCACUUUCUCUAACUGCUCCUUUCACUCUUUGGAAGCUUCUCCCUCUUUUAGCUGUGAAUCACCGUUUUCCAUACCAUCCGCCCGGAACAAGCAACUCUCUCAGCACUCUGCUAAGGAAACGGUCUGACAACAUUCGCCCCCUCUCUAACCUCACCAUCAUUCUCUACUUUCUUAAGAGCUCUGCUCAUGAACCUGUGCUUGGCUUCCUACAUUUAAUGUCUUUAAAUAAACCCUUACUCUUCAGCCUGGGAUCUAAGGGGGUUUCACUCACUCUAUGUUGGCAGUUCCUAGUCUUUCGUGCUACUUAAUGUUUUCCCAGUGUGGUUCUUGGAUUUGGGGUCUUAUUGUGUUUUCUUUUUAUGCAGUAGAGACCGCUUGGCACUGAAGAAUAUGGAGCUGUGGCUCCUGUCUCAUGUACCUAGUCCUGCGCUCCUGAUUACUGUGCUUCCCUAUGUACCGGGCAGUAUAGAAUGGGGCUUGCUAGCCAGACCAUCAUUCUGAAAGGAGAAUUCACUCAGCAUGUAACUCUGUGUUUCUUUCCUCGAAUCUUCUGCUGUCAUACCGUGACAAAAAUCAUCAAGUACAUAACUGCCCAGAGUGUUUUUACAAACAAUCAUAGUUUCAGCCACAGCGGGACCAAGUGUGGCAGAGUCAGGCCGGGACAUAGGUGGGCUUCACUAUGGCAUAGCCUUGUUCAGGGUUCUACAACUUUGUAUUUUAUUUUAGUUUUUUAUUUUUAUUUUUUGGGGGGUACAGCAAACUUUAUUGAUGGUAUUCAAGAGUGUAGAGCUCCCUAGACCCCUCCUAUUAUUGUGGGGGUCUGGGAUGGAAACUGAGAGAGAAGCUCAGUGUUGGGGGCUGAGUUGGGAUGGGGACUCCUCAGCAAUCGAGAGCCUCUCUCUUGUUCUCAGUGUCC